CAUCUGAAGCAUCACACGGUGUUGGUUAAACCCUUCUUGAACCAUCUCCCUUAGUUUGCCGGUUGCCUUGGGUGUGUGCGGGCGUGUGGCCGGACCAUCCUCCUCAGUGGGAAGACGACACGGAUGCACAACACACCUAACUGAACUGACGAAGCCGCCCAGCAUUACAGAUAGGAGAGCCACACAUGCUGCUUCGUCAUAGCAACUUAACAACAAACUGGCAGAGCUGCAGUACUGGUCCUCUGAGUGUCAGCACACAGGGCCGCUAGCAGUCCUCCUCCCGGUCUGACUUGUCCGAGAGAGUCACCUCCGCGAUGUCUGCCAUGGUGGGAGGCUGCAGGGAGGAGACAAUCUUGGCGGGCAUCUCCUGCACUGCCGGGUUGGUGGUCUCGCACAGCCCCUCGAACUGUUGCUUCAGGAUGCGUGAUGCUUCAUCGUACACCUGUAGGAGAGGCUUAAUGAAUCCUUCACCAGUAAACACCAUGUCCAUGAAGAGUUCCUGGAUGAAGCGCCGCGCUGUCAGCCGGUAGUUGUAGGAGGCAAGGAUCUGACAGAUCUCCGCAUAAAGGCAGACGUCCUUGAAACCUGCAGGCCACCGCUGCUUCAGUGUCAGCAGUCCUGUCAGGCCACAAUGGGAUUAGUGAUGCUGAACAUGUUUAUUACAUCCAAAGAAGAGGAUAAUGAUCUUAGUGGGUCAAGGAAGGUUGAUCGUGAUGACAGAGCAUGGGUGGUGGGCAGGACACUCACCUGCCUCUGAAGACUUUGCAGCAAUGGAAGACAACAAGUUGGUGAUGAAGCGCAGCACCUCCUUCCUGAAGAGCACCUGGUUGAC